rnacentral:rRNA from 1 species
GAUGAACGCUAGCGGCAGGCCUAACACAUGCAAGUCGAGGGGUAACAGGGUAGCAAUAUCGCUGACGACCGGCGCACGGGUGAGUAACGCGUAUGCAACCUUCCUUUAACUGGGGGAUAGCCCGGAGAAAUUCGGAUUAAUACCCCAUAACAUCAUGAGGAGGCAUCUCCUUAUGAUUAAAGCUCCGGCGGUUAAAGAUGGGCAUGCGUGCCAUUAGCUUGUUGGUGAGGUAACGGCUCACCAAGGCUACGAUGGUUAGGGGGUCUGAGAGGAUGAUCCCCCACACUGGUACUGAGACACGGACCAGACUCCUACGGGAGGCAGCAGUGAGGAAUAUUGGGCAAUGGGCGCAAGCCUGACCCAGCCAUGCCGCGUGAAGGAUGAAUGCCCUAUGGGUUGUAAACUUCUUUUGUACGGGACGAAACUCCUGGUCGUGACCGGGAUUGACUGUACCGUGCGAAUAAGCAUCGGCUAACUCCGUGCCAGCCGCCGCGGUAAGAC